rnacentral:rRNA from 1 species
GGGGAAUAUUGCACAAUGGGCGCAAGCCUGAUGCAGCGACGCCGCGUGGGGGAUGACGGCCUUCGGGUUGUAAACCUCUUUCAGUAUCGGCGAAGCUCCAGGGUUUUCUUUGGGGUGACGGUAGGUACAGAAGAAGCACCGGCCAACUACGUGCCAGCAGCCGCGGUAAUACGUAGGGUGCGAGCGUUGUCCGGAAUUACUGGGCGUAAAGAGCUCGUAGGUGGUUUGUCGCGUUGUCCGUGAAAACUCACAGCUCAACUGUGGGCGUGCGGGCGAUACGGGCAGACUAGAGUACUGUAGGGGAGACUGGAAUUCCUGGUGUAGCGGUGGAAUGCGCAGAUAUCAGGAGGAACACCGGUGGCGAAGGCGGGUCUCUGGGCAGUAACUGACGCUGAGGAGCGAAAGCGUGGGGAGCGAAC